rnacentral:rRNA from 1 species
UAAACUGCUUGGGAAACUGAUAGUCUAGAGUGAGGGAGAGGCAGAUGGAAUUGGUGGUGUAGGGGUAAAAUCCGUAGAUAUCACCAAGAAUACCCAUUGCGAAGGCGAUCUGCUGGAACUCAACUGACGCUAAGGCGCGAAAGCGUGGGGAGCAAACAGGAUUAGAUACCCUGGUAGUCCACGCCCUAAACGAUGUACACUAGUUGUUGGGAUGCUAGUCAUCUCAGUAAUGCAGCUAACGCAUUAAGUGUACCGCCUGGGGAGUACGGUCGCAAGAUUAAAACUCAAAGGAAUAGACGGGGACCCGCACAAGCGGUGGAGCAUGUGGUUUAAUUCGAAGAUACGCGAAGAACCUUACCUGGGCUUGAUAUCCUAAGAACCUUAUAGAGAUAUGAGGGUGCUAGCUUGCUAGAACUUAGAGACAGGUGCUGCACGGCUGUCGUCAGCUCGUGUCGUGAGAUGUUGGGUUAAGUCCCGCAACGAGCGCAACCCACGUAUUUAGUUGCUAACGGUUCGGCCGAGCACUCUAAAUAGACUGCCUUCGUAAGGAGGAGGAAGGUGUGGACGACGUCAAGUCAUCAUGGCCCUUAUGCCCAGGGCGACACACGUGCUACAAUGGCAUAUACAAUGAGACGCAAUACCGCGAGGUGGAGCAAAUCUAUAAAAUAUGUCCCAGUUCGGAUUGUUCUCUGCAACUCGAGAGCAUGAAGCCGGAAUCGCUAGUAAUCGUAGAUCAGCCAUGCUACGGUGAAUACGUUCCCGGGUCUUGUACUCACCGCCCGUCACACCAUGGGAGUUGAUUUCACUCGAAGCCGGAAUACUAAA